GACGAACGCUGGCGGCGUGCCUAAUACAUGCAAGUCGAGCGGACUUGAUGGAGAGCUUGCUCUCCUGAGAGUUAGCGGCGGACGGGUGAGUAACACGUAGGCAACCUGCCCUCAGGACUGGGAUAACUACCGGAAACGGUAGCUAAUACCAGAUAAUUCACUUCUUCGCAUGGAGGAGUGAGGAAAGACGGAGUAAUCUGUCACCGGAGGAUGGGCCUGCGGCGAAUUGGCUAGUUGGAGAGGUAACGGCUUCCCAAGGCGACGAUGCGUAGCCGAGCUGGGAGGGUGGUCGGCAACAAGGUGACUGAGACACGGCCCAGACUCCUACGGGAGGCAGCAGUAGGGAAUCUUCCGCAAUGGGCGAAAGCCUGACGGAGCAACGCCGCGUGAGUGAUGAAGGUUUUCGGAUCGUAAAGCUCUGUUGCCAAGGAAGAACGUCCUUAAGAGUAACUGCUUAAGGAGUGACGGUACUUGAGAAGAAAGCCCCGGCUAACUACGUGCCAGCCGCCGCCGUAAUAC
rnacentral:rRNA from 1 species